rnacentral:rRNA from 1 species
UGGCAGCAGCGGACGGGUGCGUAACGCGUAGGAACGUGUCCUGAGGUGGGGGACAACCCUGGGAAACUGGGGCUAAUACCGCAUAUGGGCUGAGGCCCAAAGCCGAAAGGCGCCUUAGGAGCGGCCUGCGUCCGAUUAGCUAGUUGGUGGGGUAAAGGCCUACCAAGGCUCCGAUCGGUAGCUGGUCUGAGAGGACGAUCAGCCACACUGGGACUGAGACACGGCCCAGACUCCUACGGGAGGCAGCAGUGGGGAAUAUUGGACAAUGGGCGCAAGCCUGAUCCAGCAAUGCCGCGUGGGUGAAGAAGGUCUUCGGAUCGUAAAGCCCUUUCGACAGGGACGAUGAUGACGGUACCUGUAGAAGAAGCCCCGGCUAACUUCGUGCCAGCAGCCGCGGUAAUACGAAGGGGGCUAGCGUUGCUCGGAAUUACUGGGCGUAAAGGGCGCGUAGGCGGCUUAGUCAGUCAGGCGUGAAAUUCCUGGGCUUAACCUGGGGUCUGCGUUUGAGACGGCU